rnacentral:rRNA from 1 species
AUUGAACGCUGGCGGCAUGCCUAACACAUGCAAGUCGAACGGAUUGGCGGACGGGCGAGUAAUGCCUAGGAAUCUGCCUGGUAGUGGGGGAUCACGUCCGGAAACGGGCGCUAAUACCGCAUACUAUCAGAUGAGCCUAGGUUGGAUUAGCUUGUGGGUGGGGUAAAGGUCUACCAAGGCGACGAUCCGUAACUGGUCUGAGAGGAUGAUCAGUCACACUGGAACUGAGACACGGUCCAGACUCAUACGGGAGGAAGCAGUGGGGAAUAUUGGACAAGGGGCGAAAGCCUGAUCCAGCCAUGCCGCGUGUGUGAAGAAGGUCUUCGGAUGGUAAAGCACUUUAAGUUGGGAGGCGUUACCAACAGAAUAAGCACCGGCUAACUUCGUGCCAGCAGCCGCGGUAAUAC